UACGUAGGUGGCGAGCGUUGUCCGGAUUUACUGGGCGUAAAGGGAGCGUAGGCGGACUUUUAAGUGAGAUGUGAAAUACUCGGGCUCAACUUGAGUGCUGCAUUUCAAACUGGAAGUCUAGAGUGCAGGAGAGGAGAAUGGAAUUCCUAGUGUAGCGGUGAAAUGCGUAGAGAUUAGGAAGAACACCGGUGGCGAAAGCGGCUCUCUGGCCUGUAACUGACACUGAGGCUCGAAAGCGUGGGGAGCAAACAGG
rnacentral:rRNA from 1 species